rnacentral:rRNA from 1 species
UUUCGCAAUGCCCGAAAGGGUGACGAAGCGACGCCGCGUGCGGGAAGAAGGCCUUCGGGUUGUAAACCGCUGUCGGGAGUUAAGAAAUGCAAGGGUGUUAACAGCAUCCUUGCUUGACUAAGGCUCCGGAGGAAGCCACGGCUAACUCUGUGCCAGCAGCCGCGGUAAUACAGAGGCGGCAAGCGUUGUUCGGAAUUAUUGGGCGUAAAGAGCACGUAGGCGGCUGUGUAAGUCGGUUGUGAAAGCCUUCCGCUCAACGGGAGAACGGCAUCUAAUACUGCAUAGCUUGAGUGCGGGAGGGGAGAGUGGAACUUCUGGUGGAGCGGUGAAAUGCGUAGAUAUCAGAAGGAACACCGGCGGCGAAGGCGACUCUCUGGCCCGUAACUGACGCUGAGUGUGCGAAAGCUAGGGGAGCAAACGGGAUUAGAUACCCCGGUAGUCCUAGCCGUAAACGAUGGGCACUAAGUAGAGGGGUUUU